AACCCAAUGGCACAGUGGUUAGUGCGCUUGCUUUACAUGUCUAGUUCGUCAAACAUGUUGAAGCAAGAGACCUGUGUUCGAUUCACGGUUGGGUCA